rnacentral:rRNA from 1 species
UACAGAGGUCCCAAGCGUUGUUCGGAUUCACUGGGCGUAAAGGGUGCGUAGGUGGCCGGGUAAGUUCGAUGUGAAAGCUCUGAGCUCAACUCAGAAAUGGCAUUGAAUACUAUCCGGCUUGAGGGUUGGAGGGGGGACUGGAAUUCUCGGUGUAGCAGUGAAAUGCGUAGAUAUCGAGAGGAACACCUGUGGCGAAGGCGGCCCCCUGGUUGGAUACUGACGCUGAGACGCGAAAGCGUGGGGAGCAAACAGG